AAUCAACGCUGGCGGCGUGCCUCAGACAUGCAAGUCGAACGAUUAAAGCUCUCUUCGGAGAGUGUAUAGAGUGGCGCACGGGUGAGUAACACGUAAGUAAUCUACCCUCGAGUGGGGAAUAACAACCGGGAAACGGUUGCUAAUACCGCAUAAUGCAGCGGCACCGCAAGGUGACAGUUGUUAAAAGAUUUAUCGCUUGAGGAGGAGCUUGCGGCAGAUUAGCUAGUUGGUAGGGUAACGGCUUACCAAGGCUACGAUCUGUAACCGGUCUAAGAGGACGGUCGGUCACACUGACACUGAAUAACGGGUCAGACUCCUACGGGAGGCAGCAGUCGGGAAUUUGGGCAAUGGGCGAAAGCCUGACCCAGCAACGCCGCGUGAAGGAUGAAGUAUUUCGGUAUGUAAACUUCGAAAGAAUAGGAAGAAUUAAUGACGGUACUAUUAUAAGGUCCGG
rnacentral:rRNA from 1 species